rnacentral:rRNA from 1 species
GACGAACGCUGGCGGCGUGCUUAAUACAUGCAAGUCGAACGGAAAGGCCCUGCCUUUGUUGGGUGCUCGAGUGGCGAACGGGUGAGUAACACGUGAGUAACCUGCCCUUGACUUUGGGAUAACUUUAGGAAACUGGGGCUAAUACCGGAUAUGAGCUCCUGCUGCAUGGUGGGGGUUGGAAAGUUUCGGCGGUUGGGGAUGGACUCGCGGCUUAUCAGCUUGUUGGUGAGGUAGUGGCUUACCAAGGCUUUGACGGGUAGCCGGCCUGAGAGGGUGACCGGCCACAUUGGGACUGAGGUACGGCCCAGACUCCUACGGGAGGCAGCGGUGGAGAAUAUUGCGCAAUAGGCGGAAGCCUGAUACAGCGACGCCGGGUGCGGGAUGACGGCCUUCGGGUUAUAAACCGCUUUCGACUGUGACGAAGCGUGAGUGACGGUAAUGGAUAAGAAAGCACCGGCUAACUACGUG